GAUGAACGCUGGCGGCGUGCCUAAUACAUGCAAGUCGAGCGAACGGACGAGAAGCUUGCUUCUCUGAUGUUAGCGGCGGACGGGUGAGUAACACGUGGAUAACCUACCUAUAAGACUGGGAUAACUUCGGGAAACCGGAGCUAAUACCGGAUAAUAUUUUGAACCGCAUGGUUCAAAAGUGAAAGACGGUCUUGCUGUCACUUAUAGAUGGAUCCGCGCUGCAUUAGCUAGUUGGCAAGGUAACGGCUUACCAAGGCAACGAUGCAUAGCCGACCUGAGAGGGUGAUCGGCCACACUGGAACUGAGACACGGUCCAGACUCCUACGGGAGGCAGCAGUAGGGAAUCUUCCGCAAUGGGCGAAAGCCUGACGGAGCAACGCCGCGUGAGUGAUGAAGGUCUUCGGAUCGUAAAACUCUGUUAUUAGGGAAGAACAUAUGUGUAAGUAACUGUGCACAUCUUGACGGUACCUAAUCAGAAAGCCACGGCUAACUACGUGCCAGCAGCCGCGGUAAUACGUAGGUGGCAAGCGUUAUCCGGAAUUAUUGGGCGUAAAGCGCGCGUAGGCGGUUUUUUAAGUCUGAUGUGAAAGCCCACGGCUCAACCGUGGAGGGUCAUUGGAAACUGGAAAACUUGAGUGCAGAAGAGGAAAGUGGAAUUCCAUGUGUAGCGGUGAAAUGCGCAGAGAUAUGGAGGAACACCAGUGGCGAAGGCGACUUUCUGGUCUGUAACUGACGCUGAUGUGCGAAAGCGUGGGGAUCAAACAGG
rnacentral:rRNA from 1 species